rnacentral:rRNA from 1 species
AUGAACGCUGGCGGCGUGCCUAAUACAUGCAAGUAGAACGCUGAAGGAGGAGCUUGCUCUUCUGGAUGAGUUGCGAACGGGUGAGUAACGCGUAGGUAACCUGCCUGGUAGCGGGGGAUAACUAUUGGAAACGAUAGCUAAUACCGCAUGACAACAGUUAUUGCAUGAUAACUGUUUAAAAGGGGCAACUGCUCCACUACCAGAUGGACCUGCGUUGUAUUAGCUAGUUGGUGAGGUAACGGCUCACCAAGGCGACGAUACAUAGCCGACCUGAGAGGGUGAUCGGCCAAACUGGGACUGAGACCCGGCCCAGACUCCUACGGGAGGCAGCAGUAGGGAAUCUUCGGCAAUGGACGGAAGUCUGACCGAGCAAUGACGCGUGAGUGAAGAAGGUUUUCGGAUCGUAAAGCUCUGUUGUAAGAGAAGAACGAGCGUGAGAGUGGAAAGUUCACACUGUGACGGUAUCUUAACAGAAAGCGACGGCUAACUACGUG